rnacentral:rRNA from 1 species
UACGUAGGGUGCAAGCGUUGUCCGGAAUUAUUGGGCGUAAAGAGCUCGUAGGCGGUCCGUCACGUCGGCUGUGAAAACCCGGGGCUCAACUCCGGGCCUGCAGCCGAUACGGGCAGACUAGAGUUCGGCAGGGGAGACUGGAAUUCCUGGUGUAGCGGUGAAAUGCGCAGAUAUCAGGAGGAACACCGGUGGCGAAGGCGGGUCUCUGGGCCGAUACUGACGCUGAGGAGCGAAAGCGUGGGGAGCGAACAGG